UAAAUGAAAGAAUGAAAGAGUAAACCCUAGAUUUGAUAAAUUGGAGCCUAAGCAUCCAAGAAACCGCCUCCAAAGAGUGUAAACCUGCUUUCGACGUCUCUGCCUGCCAAAAGAUUACUUUGAGAAUGGCACUAGGGCUAUUUAUAGCACAUAAAAGUAAUAGAAUUUAAGCCCAGGCCCAUCAGUGCACCGCUAGCAUUAGUCUGAAAGUGUCUCCCAGGAAGACACACAACCUCCUCAAUUUCAGCAACAUUAUCGAACAAACUAGCAUGUGCUGCAUACUGGCACUGCUCCCCUGGCCACUCUGUUCCCAAGAAGCUGUUAAUGGUAUCGGGGUCAUAAUUGAUAGUUUGCCCCCUCACAAAGCUCAAAUAACGUACAACAGCCACUCCUUCUCUGGGCACCCCGUUGGUGUAGAAUUCUUUUACCAAUUCCACAGUGGCAGGUGCAGGGUAGGUCGUCA
rnacentral:lncRNA from 1 species